rnacentral:tRNA from 1 species
CCUGGUGGCUCAGACGGUAAGGCAUCUGCCUACAAUGCAGGAGACCCAGGUUCAAUCCCUGGGUCAGGA